rnacentral:rRNA from 1 species
GUUAUAGGAUCAAGUGACUAAGCGUACACGGUGGAUGCCUUGGCAGUCAGAGGCGAUGAAGGACGUUAUAGCAUGCGAUAAGCUACGGUUAGCCUGCAAAUUGGCAUUGACCCGUAGAUUUCCGAAUGGGGAAACCCACCACUUUUGUGGUAUUCCGAAAGGAAAGCGAACGCAGGGAACUGAAACAUCUAAGUACCUGUAGGAAAAGAAAUCAACCGAGAUUCCCCCAGUAGCGGCGAGCGAACGGGGAACAGCCGAAUCUCUUUAAUGUAGUGGAAUGGUAUGGAAAGGCCAGCGAUACCGGGUGAUAGCCCCGUACACGAAACGUUAUAGAGGACAUAUUAAGUAGGGCGGGACACGUGAAAUCCUGUCUGAAGAUGGGGGGACCAUCCUCCAAGGCUAAAUACUCCUGACUGACCGAUAGUGAACCAGUACCGUGAGGGAAAGGCGAAAAGAACCCUGGUGAAGGGAGUGAAAUAGAACCUGAAACCGUGUACGUACAAGCAGUGGGAGCCCUCCGGGGUGACUGCGUACCUUUUGUAUAAUGGGUCAGCGACUUACUUUCAGUGGCAAGCUUAACCGAUAGGGGAGGCGUAGCGAAAGCGAGUCUGAACAGGGCGUUCAGUCGCUGGGAGUAGACCCGAAACCGAGCGAUCUAUCCAUGGCCAGGUUGAAGGUGCCGUAACAGGUACUGGAGGACCGAACCCACUCCCGUUGAAAAGGUAGGGGAUGAGCUGUGGAUAGGAGUGAAAGGCUAAUCAAGCUCGGAGAUAGCUGGUUCUCCUCGAAAGCUAUUUAGGUAGCGCCUCGUGUAUCACUCCUAGGGGUAGAGCACUGUUAUGGCUAGGGGGCCCUGACCGGCUUACCAACCCAUUGCAAACUCCGAAUACUAGGAAGUGCGAGCACGGGAGACAGACAGCGGGUGCUAACGUCCGUUGUCAAAAGGGAAACAACCCAGACCGCCAGCUAAGGUCCCCAAGUUGUGGCUCAGUGGGAAACGAUGUGGGAAGGCACAGACAGCCAGGAGGUUGGCUUAGAAGCAGCCAUCCUUUAAAGAAAGCGUAAUAGCUCACUGGUCGAGUCGGCCUGCGCGGAAGAUUCAACGGGGCUUAAGCCACACACCGAAGCUGCGGACUUGAAGCAAUUCAAGUGGUAGAGGAGCGUUCUGUACGCCUGUGAAGGUGAACUGGAAAGUUUGCUGGAGGUAUCAGAAGUGCGAAUGCUGACAUAAGUAACGACAAGACGGGUGAAAAACCCGUCCGCCGAAAGCCCAAGGUUUCCUGCGCAACGUUAAUCGGCGCAGGGUUAGUCGGCCCCUAAGGCGAGGCAGAAAUGCGUAGUCGAUGGGAAACAGGUCAAUAUUCCUGUACCGGCACUAACUGCGAUGGGAGGACGGAGAAGGCUAGGACAGCAACCUAUUGGAUGGUUGUUUAAGCGUUUAGGUGGGAUUCUUAGGCAAAUCCGGGAAUCUGUUAACACUGAGGCGUGAUGACGAGGUACUACGGUACUGAAGUGUUUGAUGCCAUGCUUCCAAGAAAAGUCCCUAAGCUUCAGGUUAGUGCUGACCGUACCCCAAACCGACACAGGUGGGCUGGAUGAGAAUUCCAAGGCGCUUGAGAGAACUCGGAUGAAGGAACUAGGCAAAAUGGUACCGUAACUUCGGGAGAAGGUACGCCCGCGCAAGCGGGCCGCAGAGACCAGGCCGCUGCGACUGUUUAUCAAAAACACAGCACUCUGCAAACUCGAAAGAGGACGUAUAGGGUGUGACGCCUGCCCGGUGCCGGAAGGUUAAUUGAUGGGGUUAGCGCAAGCGAAGCUCUUGAUCGAAGCCCCGGUAAACGGCGGCCGUAACUAUAACGGUCCUAAGGUAGCGAAAUUCCUUGUCGGGUAAGUUCCGACCUGCACGAAUGGCGUAACGAUGGCGGCACUGUCUCCAUCCGAGACUCAGUGAAAUUGAAAUCGCUGUGAAGAUGCAGUGUACCCGCGGCUAGACGGAAAGACCCCGUGAACCUUUACUAUAGCUUUGUAUUGAACUUUGAACCUACUUGUGUAGGAUAGGUGGGAGACUAUGAAACUGGAACGCCAGUUCUGGUGGAGUCGUCCUUGAAAUACCACCCUGGUAUGUUCGGAGUUCUAACCCAGGCAUCACAAUGCCGGGGACAAUACAUGGUGGGUAGUUUGACUGGGGCGGUCUCCUCCUAAAGAGUAACGGAGGAGCGCGAAGGUGUGCUAAUCACGGUCGGAAAUCGUGAGGUUUGUGUAAAGGCAUAAGCACGCUUGACUGCGAGACAGACAAGUCGAGCAGGUACGAAAGUAGGUCUUAGUGAUCCGGUGGCUCUGCAUGGAAGGGCCAUCGCUCAACGGAUAAAAGGUACUCCGGGGAUAACAGGCUGAUUCCUCCCAAGAGUCCAUAUCGACGGGGGAGUUUGGCACCUCGAUGUCGGCUCAUCACAUCCUGGGGCUGAAGCAGGUCCCAAGGGUAUGGCUGUUCGCCAUUUAAAGUGGUACGCGAGCUGGGUUCAGAACGUCGUGAGACAGUUCGGUCCCUAUCUGCCGUGGGCGUUGGAGAUUUGAGGGAAGCUGACCUUAGUACGAGAGGACCGGGUUGGACGAACCUCUGGUGUUCCUGUUGUCACGCCAGUGGCAUUGCAGGGUAGCUAUGUUCGGACGGGAUAACCGCUGAAAGCAUCUAAGCGGGAAGCCCCUCCCAAGAUGAGAUCUCCCUGACCCCUUGAGGGUCCUAAAGGGCCGUUGGAGACUACGACGUUGAUAGGCUGGGUGUGGAAGUGCAGUAAUGUAUGCAGCUAACCAGUACUAAUUGCCCGUGAGGCUUGAUCCUAUAACCCAAAACGGUCUACU